ACGAACGCUGGCGGCGUGCCUAAUACAUGCAAGUCGAACGGUCUUUCUAUGGAAGCUUGCUUCCACUGAGAAGAUAGUGGCGAACGGGUGAGUAACACGUGGGUAACCUGCCCAUAAGAGGGGGAUAACAUCCGGAAACGGGUGCUAAUACCGCAUAGUUUUUCUUGAUCGCAUGAUUGAGAAAGGAAAGACGGCCUUUGUGCUGUCGCUUAUGGAUGGACCCGCGGCGUAUUAGUUAGUUGGUGAGGUAACGGCUCACCAAGACGAUGAUACGUAGCCGACCUGAGAGGGUGAUCGGCCACAUUGGGACUGAGACACGGCCCAAACUCCUACGGGAGGCAGCAGUAGGGAAUCUUCCGCAAUGGACGAAAGUCUGACGGAGCAACGCCGCGUGAGUGAAGAAAAGGUUUUCGGAUCGUAAAACUCUGUUGUCAGAGAAGAACAAGUUGGAGAGUAACUGCUCCAGCCUUGACGGUAUCUGACCAGAAAGCCACGGCUAACUACGUGCCAGCCGCUGC
rnacentral:rRNA from 1 species